rnacentral:rRNA from 1 species
AACGAACGCUGGCGGCAUGCCUAACACAUGCAAGUCGAACGAGACCUUCGGGUCUAGUGGCGCACGGGUGCGUAACGCGUGGGAACCUGCCCUUAGGUUCGGAAUAACUCCCCGAAAGGGGUGCUAAUAGCGGAUAAUGUCUUCGGACCAAAGAUUUAUCGCCUUUGGAUGGGCCCGCGUUGGAUUAGCUAGUUGGUAGGGUAAAAGCCUACCAAGGCGACGAUCCAUAGCUGGUCUGAGAGGAUGAUCAGCCACACUGGGACUGAGACACGGCCCAGACUCCUACGGGAGGCAGCAGUGGGGAAUAUUGGACAAUGGGCGAAAGCCUGAUCCAGCAAUGCCGCGUGAGUGAUGAAGGCCUUAGGGUUGUAAAGCUCUUUUACCCGGGAUGAUAAUGACAGUACCGGGAGAAUAAGCUCCGGCUAACUCCGUG